UGGCCUGUAGCUCAAUGGUCAGAGCGUCUGUCUUAUAUGCAGCGGGUUGCCGGUUCAAGUCCGGCCGGGCCAA
rnacentral:tRNA from 1 species